rnacentral:rRNA from 1 species
AGUGAACGCUGGCGGUAGGCCUAACACAUGCAAGUCGAACGGCAGCACAGUAAGAGCUUGCUCUUACGGGUGGCGAGUGGCGGACGGGUGAGGAAUACAUCGGAAUCUACUUUUUCGUGGGGGAUAACGUAGGGAAACUUACGCUAAUACCGCAUACGACCUACGGGUGAAAGCAGGGGAUCUUCGGACCUUGCGCGAUUGAAUGAGCCGAUGUCGGAUUAGCUAGUUGGCGGGGUAAGGCCCACCAAGGCGACGAUCCGUAGCUGGUCUGAGAGGAUGAACAGCCACACUGGAACUGAGACACGGUCCAGACUCCUACGGGAGGCAGCAGUGGGGAAUAUUGGACAAUGGGCGCAAGCCUGAUCCAGCCAUACCGCGUGGGUGAAGAAGGCCUUCGGGUUGUAAAGCCCUUUUGUUGGGAAAGAAAAGCAGCAGGUUAAUACCCCGCUGUUCUGACGGUACCCAAAGAAUAAGCACCGGCUAACUUCGUG